rnacentral:rRNA from 1 species
AGUGAACGCUGGCGGUAGGCCUAACACAUGCAAGUCGAACGGUAGCACAGUAAGAGCUUGCUCUUACGGGUGGCGAGUGGCGGACGGGUGAGGAAUCCAUCGGAAUCUACUUUUUCGUGGGGGAUAACGUAGGGAAACUUACGCUAAUACCGCAUACGACCUACGGGUGAAAGCAGGGGAUCUUCGGACCUUGCGCGAUUGAAUGAGCCGAUGUCGGAUUAGCUAGUUGGCGGGGUAAAGGCCCACCAAGGCGACGAUCCGUAGCUGGUCUGAGAGGAUGAUCAGCCACACUGGAACUGAGACACGGUCCAGACUCCUACGGGAGGCAGCAGUGGGGAAUAUUGGACAAUGGGCGUAAGCCUGAUCCAGCCAUACCGCGUGGGUGAAGAAGGCCUUCGGGUUGUAAAGCCCUUUUGUUGGGAAAGAAAAGCAGCAGGUUAAUACCCCGCUGUUCUGACGGUACCCAAAGAAUAAGCACCGGCUAACUUCGUG